rfam:Oryza glumipatula chromosome 1, whole genome shotgun sequence.
UUUAAAAGCAAUCAUGAAUUUUUUAUGUACAACUUUGAUCAUUCAUCUUAUUUAAAAAAUUUUAUAAUUAGUAUUUUUAUUGUUAUUAAAUGAUAAAACAUAAAUAAUAUUUUAUACCUGAUUAAUUUUUUUUUAAAAAUAAAACAGACGAUUAAAGUUGGACAUAGAAAUUUAUGACUGCGUUUAAA